AGUGAACGCUGGCGGCAGGCCUAACACAUGCAAGUCGAGCGGCAGCGCGGGGGCAACCCUGGCGGCGAGCGGCGGACGGGUGAGGAAUACAUCGGAAUCUACCUUUUCGUGGGGGAUAACGUAGGGAAACUUACGCUAAUACCGCAUACGACCUACGGGUGAAAGUGGGGGACCGCAAGGCCUCACGCGAUUAGAUGAGC
rnacentral:rRNA from 1 species